rnacentral:rRNA from 1 species
AGUGAACGCUGGCGGUAGGCCUAACACAUGCAAGUCGAACGGCAGCACAGUAAGAGCUUGCUCUUACGGGUGGCGAGUGGCGGACGGGUGAGGAAUACAUCGGAAUCUACUUUUUCGUGGGGGAUAACGUAGGGAAACUUACGCUAAUACCGCAUACGACCUACGGGUGAAAGCAGGGGAUCUUCUGACCUUGCGCGAUUGAAUGAGCCGAUGUCGGAUUAGCUAGUUGGCGGGGUAAAGGCCCACCAAGGCGACGAUCCGUAGCUGGUCUGAGAGGAUGAUCGGCCACACUGGAACUGAGACACGGUCCAGACUCCUACGGGAGGCAGCAGUGGGGAAUAUUGGACAAUGGGCGCAAGCCUGAUCCAGCCAUACCGCGUGGGUGAAGAAGGCCUUCGGGUUGUAAAGCCCUUUUGUUGGGAAAGAAAAGCAGCAGGUUAAUACCCCGCUGUUCUGACGGUACCCAAAGAAUAAGCACCGGCUAACUUCGUG